rnacentral:lncRNA from 1 species
GACAAAUACAGCAAUUCGUACGUAGGCACAGAAAAAAAAAAUCAGCUGGAGAAAAAGGGAAGAGUUCUCAGAUCUGCUCUAAUAAUCUACAGCUACGUAGAUUUAAUUAAUUAAACAUCUCAUCGAUUUGUAUUUACAAGAAUUUACAUGCAUAUUAUUACACAGAAGAGGUAGAGAGAGAGAGAGAGAGAGAAAAAAAAGCAGCAGUAAUAGAAGAAGCAAAGAAACAAAUGGAAUAAAAGCUAAAGAGAAGAGAGCCUCCGGAAAGCAAGAACAGCAGCAGCCACACGAGUACACGACGCUACACCACCACGCUGAAGUAGGCGAGCGUGAGGCCGCCGUCGCCGGCGCCGGCGGCGGUGAGGGCGCCGAGGAGGCGGCGGAAGGCGGCGGCGGGG